AGUGAACGCUGGCGGUAGGCCUAACACAUGCAAGUCGAACGGCAGCACAGUAAGAGCUUGCUCUUACGGGUGGCGAGUGGCGGACGGGUGAGGAAUACAUCGGAAUCUACUUUUUCGUGGGGGAUAACGUAGGGAAACUUACGCUAAUACCGCAUACGACCUACGGGUGAAAGCAGGGGAUCUUCGGACCUUGCGCGAUUGAAUGAGCCGAUGUCGGAUUAGCUAGUUGGCGGGGUAAAGGCCCACCAAGGCGACGAUCCGUAGCUGGUCUGAGAGGAUGAUCAGCCACACUGUAUCUGAGACACGGUCCAGACUCCUACGGGAGGCAGCAGUGGGGAAUAUUGGACAAUGGGCGCAAGCCUGAUCCAGCCAUACCGCGUGGGUGAAGAAGGCCUUCGGGUUGUAAAGCCCUUUUGUUGGGAAAGAAAAGCAGCAGGUUAAUACCCCGCUGUUCUGACGGUACCCAAAGAAUAAGCACCGGCUAACUUCGUG
rnacentral:rRNA from 1 species